CAUGGGGACAGUAUGCGGUGGGACGCCGUGGGCCUCCCUCCACCAGAGGGAGGCCAUGGGCUUGUAGGGGAUGGAGCUGGGGAGAGGACUGUCAGGCAGGCUGGAGAGCCUCCAGGGGGACCCCAGGCUCCCCCAAUCUCAGGGAGCUCCUUAAAGCAGCCACAAUCCACUACAGCAGGGCAAAGCCUGUGGGGGGAACUGGGGGAAGUAGGUCUCCAAGGUCUCCAUUUUGUACCCCUUAAGUCUGUAGCCAAGAGGAGGAGGAAUGAAGGAUUCCCUGCCAGGCCCUGUUCCGACAGGCUGGGGAGGACGGGUGGGGCUCCCAGGUGAGCCCAUGUGCUCCUGAUCUCAGUUCGUAGCUAGGCAGCUUUGUAAACAGCAGAAACACAGAGCAGUCUCUCUCUCUCUCUCUCUCUCUCUCUCUGUGUGUGUAUGUGUGUGCCUGUGCUGGGGGACUCAUGCCCCAGAGGGGGCCCUUCUCAUUACUUUAUAGUCACAGUUAUAUACAGGUCUGAGGCUGGGGUUCUGCCAGCGAGCACUUGCUGAGCACUUGCUGUGUCGCAGGUCUGCUUCAUGUAUUGUGUCCUUUAAUCUUCCCAACCCUGUAGGCAGGCACCCUUAUUACCCAGUUUUAUAGGUGGUGAAACUGAGGCUCUGAAAGUUGCAGAUGCCCAGGGUCACAGAGCAACUGAGUGACAAAGCCAGGCCAGGGUUCAAAUUGAGGUCUGUCUCACUUCAGUCCAGUUAUACUCCUGGUACCUGUGGACGUGUGUGCAUGUGAGCACUGAUCAAGGGCUGUGUGUACGCACGUGUGCGGAUGUGUGCUUUGAUGGUGGGCCUGAGUCGGCCUGUGCCUGUUGAGGACAUCUGCAUGCAGGUGUGGUUGUUUCUGCCCAGGGAUGCAGGUGUGUGCACAGACGCCCACGUGCACCUACAUUGGCACUAUGCACAUAUAUUGCGUACAAAUGUGUGUGUAUGUGUGCACAUGUGAACAUAUGCAUAAGAGCAUAUGCUUGUGCACAGUGUGCCUGCAUUUAUCAGUAGGUGUAUGCAUAGGCUGUGCACAUGCAUAUGCAUAUCUGCAGAUAGCCAUGUCCCUGGGUAUACGUGGUCAUCUCCAAAGGCUGACCUCACUCCAGUUCACUCAGCCUCUGUCCCCUUCUCAGGCUCCUGACUCAGGCACAUGUGUGGAAUCUAUUUGCGUGUUGGUCCCACUGAGUCAGUGUCACAGCAGGAUGUGUGGUGGCCUUGCUGGUGGUACAGGGACUUCUGAAGAUUAUUUGAAGGAAGGACACUUGGAGAGAGAUAGAGAUGAGGUCUCACUAUAUUACCCAGAUUGGUCUUGAACUCCUGAGCUCAAGUGAUCCUCUGACCUCAAUCUCAAAAAGUGCUGGCAUUACAGCUGUGAGCCACCACGCUCGGCCUACCCACCUCUUUCAAGACUCAGCCCCACUACCUAGGGAAACCCAGAUGGGGUCUCACUCUGUCGCCCAGGCUGGAGUGCAGCGGUUCAAUCUCAGCUCACUGU